rnacentral:rRNA from 1 species
GAUGAACGCUGGCGGUCUGCUUAACACAUGCAAGUCGAACGGAAUCCUUCGGGAUUUAGUGGCGGACGGGUGAGUAACACGUGAGAAUCUGCACUCAGGAUGGGGACAACAGUGAGAAAUUACUGCUAAUACCGGAUGAUGUCUUCGGACCAAAGAUUUAUCGCCUUUAGAUGGGCCCGCGUUGGAUUAGCUAGUUGGUGGGGUAAAGGCCUACCAAGGCGACGAUCCAUAGCUGGUCUGAGAGGAUGAUCAGCCACACUGGGACUGAGACACGGCCCAGACUCCUACGGGAGGCAGCAGUGGGGAAUAUUGGACAAUGGGCGAAAGCCUGAUCCAGCAAUGCCGCGUGAGUGAUGAAGGCCUUAGGGUUGUAAAGCUCUUUUACCCGAGAUGAUAAUGACAGUAUCGGGAGAAUAAGCUCCGGCUAACUCCGUG